rnacentral:rRNA from 1 species
GUAGGUGGCAAGCGUUGUCCGGGAAUUAUUGGGGCGUAAAGCGCGCGCAGGCGGUUUUUUAAGUCUGGGUGUGAAAGCCCACGGGCUCAACCGUGGGAGGGGUCAUUGGAAACUGGAGAACUUGAGUGCAGAAGAGGAGAGCGGAAUUCCACGUGUAGCGGUGAAAUGCGUAGAGAUGUGGAGGAACACCAGUGGCGAAGGCGGCUCUCUGGUCUGUAACUGACGCUGAGGCGCGAAAGCGUGGGGAGCAAACAGGAUUAGAUACCCUGGUAGUCCACGCCGUAAACGAGGAGUGCUAAGUGUUAGAGGGUUUCCGCCCUUUAGUGCUGCAGCAAACGCAUUAAGCACUCCGCCUGGGGAGUACGGUCGCAAAGACUG